rnacentral:snRNA from 1 species
AUCCCAAUUUCACAGUGGCACAUGUAGUAAAAUUGGAAUGAUACAAAGAGGAUUACCAUGACCCCUGUGCAAGGAUGACAUGCAAGUUUGUGAAGCAUUCCCUUUUUUU